UACGGAGGGGGCUAGCGUUGUUCGGAAUUACUGGGCGUAAAGCGCACGUAGGCGGCUUUGCAAGUUAGAGGUGAAAGCCCGGGGCUCAACCCCGGAAUUGCCUUUAAAACUGCAUCGCUAGAAUUGUGGAGAGGUAAGUGGAAUUCCGAGUGUAGAGGUGAAAUUCGUAGAUAUUCGGAAGAACACCAGUGGCGAAGGCGGCUCACUGGCCCGGUACUGACGCUGAGGCGCGAAAGCGUGGGGAGCAAACAGG
rnacentral:rRNA from 1 species